rnacentral:lncRNA from 1 species
CCACCGAUUUCUUCAUCAUUGUAGCCUCCAUAGUUGAAGUUUCCUCAUUUGAAGCUGUUUAUGCAUAUGCUUUUUCCCUUCUCAAGUACAGGAAAUUGAAGAAUUAACCAGAUGUGAUAUGCUGAAAGAGUGAAGUUUUCUCCCUUGAAUGUGGCCUUGUGAUUUGUCUUGAAGGAAUAGGAUGAUCACUGGCAAGAACCCUAUCAAGGUAGAUUUUAUGGUGUUAACAUAUUUUUAAGCAUUUUGUUACAUCAGCAAUGAUGCUUUCAUAGCAUGAAAGUGUUUAAUUUAACUGACUGAUCUUGAUUAAUCAAUUAUGAGUUUUAAUCGAGUAAAAACUAAAUACAAUCAUCGUCAACAAAUUCUGAAAUUGGGUAAAUAUCAUCUUGAUAUUGAAGAAUUUGAAAACACAAUCCACACAGGAAAUCACCCUUCGCGUGGGGAUGGAGAUGUUUACUG